rnacentral:lncRNA from 1 species
UAACUUAGGAUUUUUCUCUCUAAUGAAUAUAUUUUCUUUUAUAUUUACAAAUUUUCUGGUACAUGAGGAAGAAGGUGAGUGGAAUAAUUGUAAAAGCCAGAACACCGGACUGACAUAAACGAUAAAAUAAGAAACGAUGUUAAGGAAAUAUACGAAUGUAAAGACGAAUACAAGAACGAUAAGAAAUCGUAUUCGCAAAGAGACAUGGAGUCGAGAUAUGAUCUCUUUCCUUAACUCAAAAUAUUCGCUCCGUUAGUGAGACGGAACUGUACGAAUAUAGAGUCCCAGGAUAAAACCAUGGCAGACGAAUCACGCUUCACUCGUGAUCGCCCUAUCGAACUAUAAACUCUACGAAACACUCUCGCAAAAUAGACUUACGCAGAGGGAUUUUUGCUGUUGGAUUUUGAUACGGAAAAAGUUAGAGAAAUGAGAAGAGAGACGAGUUGUAUUUAAAAGGAUGGACGAGGAGCGACUUCCCGUAACUGUUGCAUAACGUGCGCAUGUUAGUGGGGAUUUGGCAAAGAUCUCGGGAAGUUUAAGUUACAAACUUAUUCCCCAAGACUCGCUCUCUCUCUCUCUCUCUCUUAUCUCGUUUAAAUAUCUCGAGAGGAUGAACUGCAUGACGUUUUUAUUUUAUAGACAAACUGCUUGUCGUUUUAAAAUAAAAUGCAUGUUGUUUUUGAGAUUUUAAAUGGCAAAGUGUUGAGCUUAACUUGGUCCAAAAAAAUAAUUCUUAUCGGGCCAAAGGCCCACCCAAGCCCAAGCCCAAGCCCACGCCCGAGCCGAGCCAAGCCGAGCCGAGCCGAGCCGAGCCGGACGGCGGCGGCGGCGCGCGCGUGGGAGCUCACUCUUCCUCUGAGCCGUUUAAUCUAGUGUAAGUGUAUACACUUAUAUAUACUGCUCGUUUUCUCCUCAUGUAACCGAUGUGGGAUGUUUUUAAAACUCCUUCAUUAAAGUCAUGAAAGGCUUCUUGAGUUAACUCCCGCAGGCCCAUUUCUUUUCAUCAUUUCCAAUUUUUUAUUAAAGCCAUUGGGCUUAAUAAAUUGGUCCAACAAUCCCCAACAUGAAUAGAAAUGACUCUAUACAUAUGCAGACUAAAUGCAGACUCGAUAGACUCUAAAAAACUAUACUUAUUCUAAUCCUGACUAGACUAGACAGACUUAUCGAGAGUGUUUGCGAAAAAUUCACUGUGUUUGAGUUGGUGGCAUUUUUAAGCCUUGAACCACUCAUAGUUAAUAUCUGUCGGGUUUACUUUACCAGAAGGUGAACAUGAUGUCUUGAACCAACCAGUGUUUUAUGUAAACCGAGACAACAGGCAUAACGCAGCUUCAUUUUCUCGUAGAACUUAGUUCUCUAUUGUGUUCAUUGUGGCCCUGAACUAUUCCUGGUUUUCAUGAGUGAACUUAGAGAAUAUAGCCUUGCAUUCAUUCUCCUAGAAACGGCCCCAUUUCACACUCAUUAGGUGAUUGACCAUGAAAAGUAUUGAGUAAUACUCCUCUCAGAAGCUAUGGAAUCAUUAAAAGCUUAUGCUUAUCCUUCACACAUUUGUUAGCACUUUUAUCAUCUUAGGAGCUGGGAAGAGACUACUUAUCUCAAGUGCUUUGGUUAGAUUCUGUUUGAUUUUGUUUUCCCUUUGAACCUACGUCUUGGGAUCUCCAGUCAUGAUAGGUAGGGUUGCAAUCAAGCAUCCUCAUUCGUUAUAGGCUUUAAACCCAUUCCUUUUGAUGAUUUAGCAACAACAUCUUGUGACAACCCUUUAGUAAAUGGAUCCGCUAGGUUGUCAGCCGAUUUGAUGUAGUCUAUUGUAAUUACACCAGUUGAGAUAAGUUGUCUAAUAGUUUUAUGUCGUCUUCUGAUGUGACGAGAUUUACCAUUGUAGAGAUUAUUCUCAGCCCGAGCUAUAGCUGAUUGACUAUCACAAUGUAUGCGUAUAGCUGGCACAGGUUUCUCCCACAUAGGAAUAUCUUCCAAAAAAUUUCUAAGCCAUUCAGCUUCUUCUGCUGCUUUGUCUAAGGCUAUGAACUCAGAUUCCAUGGUUGAUCUGGCUAACACUGUUUGUUUGGUAGAUUUCCAUGAUUUUGCUGCUCCACCUAGUGUAAAGACAUAUCCACUCGUGGAUUUUGAGUUUUUAGAAUCAGAUAUCCAGUUAGCAUCACUGUAUCCUUCUAAAACUGCUGGUUAUUUACCAUAGUGAAGCCCAAAAUCUUUGGUGUAGCGCAAGUAAUUGAGUACCCUCGUUAUAGCUUUCCAGUGUGUAUGACCUGGAUUACUAGUAUAUCGACUAAGUACGUUUACUGCAUGCGCUAGAUCUGGUCUAGUACAAUUUGUCAAGUACAUGAGACUUCCGAUCACACGUGCGUACUCGUUUUGUGAAACCGCUUCACCUGAAUUCUUUGUCAAGUGCAUUUGGGGAUCUAAUGGAGUUUUUGCCGUACUAUUAGAGUAAUUUUUAAAUCUCUCUAAUAUUGUUUGAGCAUAAUGAGAUUGGGUUAAGAUAAUUCCGUUUGAAUUUCUUGUGACUUUAACCCCGAGAAUUACAUCUACUAAUCCCAAGUCUUUCAUCUCAAAUGUCCCUUUGAGCAUGUUCUUAGUUUGAUUGAUAAUGUCUUUAUUGCUUCCAAUAAUGAGCAUAUCAUCUACAUAUAGACAUAGCAAAACAUACGCAUUUUUGGUAGUUUUGUAGUAUAUGCAUUUGUCACAUUCAUUUAUUUUGAAACCAUUUGACAUCAUUGUAUUGUCAAAUUUUUCGUGCCAUUGUUUAGGAGCUUGUUUAAGCCCAUAAAGAGACUUUACAAGUCGACAUACUUUGUCUUCUUGUCCGGGAAUGACAAAACCUUCAGGUUGUUUCAUGUAAAUUUCCUCUUCUAAAUCACCAUUUAGAAAAGCAGUUUUUACAUCCAUUUGAUGGAUUUCUAGGUCUCUUAAGGCUGCGAUUGCUAUCAUCAGUCUUAUUGAUGUUAUUCUCGUCACUGGAGAAUAUGUAUCAAAAUAGUCAAGGCCUUCUUUUUGUCGGAAUCCUUGAACUACAAGCCUAGACUUGUAUUUUCCACCAGGUUUGCGUGUCAUUAUCCAUUUAUUCCCUAAUGCUUUGCAGCCAGGUGGUAAAUCCGUUAUGUAAUACGUAUAAUUUUGCAUAAUCGAAUCUAAUUCACUCCUGACAGCUUCGUUCCAAAAUGGAGCUUCUGGUGAAGCCAUGGCUUCUGCCAAAGUUUUUGGAGCAUUUUCUACUAAAAAUGCCAUUAGGAAAUCUUCUCCAAAAGAUUUUUCCUUUCGAGCUCUUUUUCUUCUUCGAGGUUCAUCUUUUUCUUCAUUUUCUGAAAUAUCAUUUAUAGAAAUCUCGACGCUUGUCUCAGUUUCUGAGUUCUUGUCAUUGUCUCUUUCUUCUCGAGUUCGUUUUGAACCUUGUUUUUCCCUAUAUGGAAAAAUAUUUUCAAAGAAAGAUGCAUUUCUUGAUUCCAUGACUGUAUUUUCAUGAAUAUCUGAUAUUUCAGAUUUAUGUACCAGAAAUCGAUAAGCAUUACUGUUAUGUGCAUAUCCGAUGAAGAUGCAAUCCACUGUUUUAGGUCCAAUAGUGACAUUCUUUGGUGGCGGUACCGCAACUUUUGCCAGGCACCCCCACACUUUGAGGUAUUUAUACGAAGGUAAAUUACCUUUCCAUAAUUCAUAUGGAGUUUUGCCAGUUAUUUUGUGUGGAAUUUUGUUGAGGAUAUAAUUAGUGGUAAGAAACGCUUCCCCCCACAUGUUCUGGGGUAACCCAGAUUCCUGCAACAUAGCAUUCAUCAUCUCUUUUAGAGUUCGAUUUUUUCGUUCAGCAACUCCAUUAGAUUCUGGUGAGUAAGGAGCUGUAGUUUGAUGGAUUAUUCCAUGUUCUUUACAGAAUUCAUUGAACGGACCAUCAUACUCGCCUCCUCUGUCGAUUCUAACUACUUUAAUAGUUGUUUUAAGCUGAUUUUCAACCUCGAGUUUAAAUUCUUUAAAUUUUUCUAAGGUUUCAUCUUUGCUAUGUAAUAAAUAAACAUAACAAUAUUUUGUGCAGUCAUCUAUGAAGAUCACAAAGUACUUUUUACCACCUCUAGUUUGUAAGUAUUUUAAAUCACAUAAAUCAGUGUGAAUUAAAUCUAGAGGUUUAUUAGUUCUUUCAACACGAGGUGAUGGCGUUUUUGUGAGCUUAGCCUGUACGCAUACUUCACAUUUUUGUUUACUUGUUUUGCAUUUAGGAAUUAGAUUUAAAUUUAUUAAUCUUUGUAUAGACUUGUAGUUUACAUGGCCUAAUCUUUCAUGCCAUAUAUUAAAAGACUCAACCAAAUAAGCAACUGGCUCUUUCUUAUUCAUUGAAACUUUUGGAGCUACAACUUUUGGAGUGACUGUCAUUACAUUCAGCUUGACAAGUCCACCCUUAAUAUAACCCCUACCCAAAUACAUCCCAUUCUUCCUAAUCACCAGCUUAUCCGCCUCAAAACUUGUGGCGAAUCCAUUCUUGCUGAGCAAGGUUCCCGAGACCAGGUUCUUCCUCAUGUCAGGCACAUGCUUCACAUUCGUCAGAGUGACCUCAUGUCCAGAUGUCAUCUUCAAAAUCACAUUGCCGCGUCCUUCAAUCUUGGAGACUGCAGUGUUUCCCAUCUUGAGCUUCUCCUCAGUCUUGCUUUUCUGAUAGGUGCUGAACAUCGCUCUAUCAGUGCAAAUGUGGGUGGUUGCACCAGUGUCAUACCACCAUUCCUUGGGGUUGUUGCUUUCAACCAUGUUGGCUUCAGUCACCACAGCAACGAGAUCCUCCUCAGUGAGAUUUGCAUGAGCCUUCUCAUCCUUGGUCUUUUUGCGACACUCAAUUGUCUUGUGCCCCACUUUGUGGCAGUAGUGACAUUUUCCCCUGAACUUCUCCACAUUCGCAUUCGCAUUGAUCUCGAUGCCUUUGUUCUUGAAGUUUUUUUCCGAAGCCUUCAGGGCUGCAGCAAUUUUGGAAGGCUUGGCAGGAGAAUGGGCGUGUGCCUUUCCUUUGCCUUUGUGCUCAGCCAUGUUGACACUGUGCUCCUUAGCAGUGACCUUGUCAGCAAUUCGGUUUCUGGAUUCCAUCUGAAGCGUCAUGAUGACCUCCUCGAGCCCCAUCUUCUUCUUCUUGUGCUUCAAGUAGUUCUUGAAAUCCGCAUAGCUUGGAAGAAGCUUUUCAAUGAAGCUGAGAGUUGUGAAUGUCUCGCAGAUAGACAUUCCUUCAGCAGCGAUUUCAUGGCAAAUGAGCUGAAGCGCUUCCACCUGAUCCAUGAUGGGUUUUGAAUCCACCAUUUUGAAGUCGUGGAAUUUUGAAACCACAUACUUCUGGCAGCCAGCGUCCUCACCUCUGUACUUCUUGUCCAGUGAUCUCCAUAGCUCUUUCGCCGUGGGGAACUCACAGUAGAUACGGUACAAUGGGUCAAUGAGGCGACCCAAAAUGUAGCCUUUGCAGAUGAAGUCCGAAUGCACCCAUAUGUCUACAGUUGCGAGACUGUGAACAUCAUCAAUCCCGUAAGGCAUAAUGGGCUUAUCCUCCUGGAUGAACUUGUCUAGCUUCAUCGUUGUCAGGAAGAACAACAUCUUCUUCUGCCACGUCUUGAAGCCUUUGCCAUCAAACUGGUUUGGCAUCAGUCCUUGAGUGAACACCCUAGGGACAGCCGGAGGAGUUUGAACUGCCACCGGACGACUUGCGGUUCCUGAAAUUUAACCCGUCUGAUAAAGACCAGCACCGAAUAGACUACGGCGAGUGGUUUCAUCAGCAGCAUUUCCUGCAGGGAGGAGGAUAGUGCUUGUUGUUGCUGCAGUGGUUGACGCCGUGAUGUUUCCAGCGGUUGUCACGCCAGUUGCAUCAGUUGCUGCAGCGUUGAGUGGAGUCUGAAUGACAUCGGAGGUGCCAAUGGGAUUGUUGUUAUCGUUUGUCAUUUUUCUGUAGAGAAAACAGGAAAAAACGGAUUAGUACUCCAUUCAACAAAUAACAUAUUAUUUUAAAGAAAAUAAUAGUCUAAAAUCGAUGUUCAUUUUUGGUGUUUGAACCAAAUCAUAUCGAUAUAGUCUUGAGAAAACGUUUUGCAAACUCGCUUAAAGGCGUUCGCAGAAACCAUUUUUAUAGACUUAGAAUGUUUCACAAACUCGCUUAAGAAAGCGGUCUUGAAACGAUUCAUUUUAUAGAACGUUUUGAAGAUGUAUCAAAAACGUUUUGCAAAAAUGCUAGAAAGCAAAUCGCAAACACGGUUCCAAAACCCGUUUUUAUAAAUCGUUCUUCAACCCGAUUCGAGCUUUAGGAAUAAAGCGAUUUUGAGUUAAGAUUGUAAAAGCCGGAACACCGGACUGACAUAAACGAUAAAAUAAGAAACGAUGUUAAGGAAAUAUACGAAUGUAAAGACGAAUACAAGAACGAUAAGAAAUCGUAUUCGCAAAGAGACAUGGAGUCGAGAUAUGAUCUCUUUCCUUAACUCAAAAUAUUCGCUCCGUUAGUGAGACGGAACUGUACGAAUAUAGAGUCCCAGGAUAAAACCAUGGCAGACGAAUCACACUUCACUCGUGAUCGCCCUAUCGAACUAUAAACUCUACGAAACACUCUCGCAAAAUAGACUUACGCAGAGGGAUUUUUGCUGUUGGAUUUUGAUACGGAAAAAGUUAGAGAAAUGAGAAGAGAGACGAGUUGUAUUUAAAAGGAUGGACGAGGAGCGACUUCCCGUAACUGUUGCAUAACGUGCGCAUGUUAGUGGGGAUUUGGCAAAGAUCUCGGGAAGUUUAAGUUACAAACUUAUUCCCCAAGACUCGCACUCUCUCUCUCUCUUAUCUCGUUUAAAUAUCUCGAGAGGAUGAACUGCAUGACGUUUUUAUUUUAUAGACAAACUGCUUGUCGUUUUAAAAUAAAAUGCAUGUUGUUUUUGAGAUUUUAAAUGGCAAAGUGUUGAGCUUAACUUGGUCCAAAAAAAUAAUUCUUAUCGGGCCAAGCCCAAGCCCAAGCCCAAGCCCAAGCCCACGCCCGAGCCGAGCCGGCCGGACGGCGGCGGCGGCGCGCGCGUGGGGAGCUCUCUCUUCCUCUGAGCCGUUUAAUCUAGUGUAAGUAUAUACACUUAUAUAUACUGCUCGUUUUCUCCUCAUGUAACCGAUGUGAGAUGUUUUUAAAACUCCUUCAUUAAAGUCAUGAAAGGCUUCUUGAGUUAACUCCCGCAGGCCCAUUUCUUUUCAUCAUUUCCAAUUUUUUAAUAAAGCCAUUGGGCUUAAUAAAUUGGUCCAACAAUAAUUACUUGGGUUUAACCUAUUGUAGACACGUUAACAUCAAACCAAAGAGUAAACCCUAGUUCAGUGCUUUUUCACCGGCGGCCGCUACCUUCUCUACGCGGCCGCCGGGAUUCUUCUCUGAUUUAUUGUUUUAUCUCCUCUUUCUUCUGCUUGCCUAUCUCAUCUAUGUCGUCUUCUGCUCCAUUACGGUGGCCUUUGUGCGAAGCUCCUCGUCAUGGUCAAAUCUGGUGACUGUAGAGUAGUUAUGGAGGUUUCGAUGGCUUUUGUUGGUGGCGUAUGUUACGGUUUGGUGGUUUCGUCAGUCUAGCCGGCGAAGUUUCUCUGCUAGAUCUGGUUUUUCUCUGUUAUGUGUUUUUUCAUUGGAGUGUAGCGGCUAAUUGGUCGCCUGAGGUUUCCUCACAUCUUCUAACCUAUCUGUCCGGCGUGGGCGGCUGGUGGUUAUGUCAAGCUCAAGCGUGGGUCGGGGUUGGAGCUUUGUCGCAUGUGUGGAACACUAUCUUUACUGUGCAGAUCAAUAGAUCUUAGCCUUGGUGAUGGAGAGGUGUUCUCUCAUCUGUUUGGGAGGAGAAAUAUAUUGUCUCUUGUCGUGAGCAUCUGAUAUGUAUCAGACAAGGACCUUACUUGGUUUGCUGUGUUAUUGCUGCCGUAGUUGAGAUUUAACGUGAGAGAGGUUGAAAAGAAAUUCCAUUGUUUUUGCUUUGUGUGUUUGCUUUCCCUUUCAUCAUUCUCUUUUGCUUUUACUAUUACCCAUAAGUGUAUGGGAUUAAUUUACGGAGCCUACUGGUUUCUUUACUUUCGAGUUUUUGUUGCUAGACUGUUUGUCUCAGCAUUGUAACGAUACUUUUAUAAUGAAUAACAAGCGUUAAAAAAAAAGAGAGGAAGAAGGUGAGCAAAGGAUCUCAAAUACUUGAUGAAUGUACAUUUGUUCGUAUAUUUACAAGUUUGGACAUUGUCCUUAUGUACAUUGGUUUACAUGCGUACACAUGUACACCUUACCAAUAAGCACAUGUAUGUUUCAUUAUGUACAGCAAAACAUCUACACAUGUACAU